rnacentral:rRNA from 1 species
GCUACUUGUAGCAUUUGCAGAAAUGGUAUAGAAGAUGAACACCAUGCAGUUAUUAUGUGCACCAAGUGUAGGGGCCUGAGAGCGGCAAUGAGGGAUUAUUGGCACCUCCCAGCAGAGAACAAAUUGUGGUACACAGGGGAUGAUUGGCGGCAAGUUGUUUUGGAUACUAAAAAUGAGGAGGUGCGUGCAAGAACACUGCUUCUGCUAUGGCGGUGCUGGCAUCUGAGAGAGGAUUGCAUAAGGAACAAUGGCAAAGAGACCAUCAGGAGCUCUGUGUUGUUUGUAAAACAGUACGAGGAAGAAUUCAGAAAUGUUUCUGAAGCUAUUGACGGGGCGGAAGGAAAGAAGAAAGCUUGGAGGAAGGAAGAUGAUUGCAAGCAUACUGAUGGAGAUCCAGGAGGUAAGUGGAGGCCCCCGGUACGAGGAAUGACCAAAAUCAACACUGACGCCGCCUUCCAUGAGGAUUCAGGAGAGAGUGCAGCGGGCGCUGUGGUACGUGAUCACAGUGGCUCAGUCCUCCUUUCGGCCUACAAAAAGAUUCCGAAAUGUCGUAGCGCGGAGGAAGCCGAGGCCCGGCCUGCUCUUAUGGGUCUUCGAGAAGUGGCCAAGUAUUAUACUGGAAAGGUGGAGCUUGAGAUGGACUGCCAAAGCAUCGUUUCGGAGUUAUCUAACUAG